rnacentral:misc_RNA from 1 species
GAUGAAGAACGUAGCGAAAUGCGAUAAGUAGUGUGAAUUGCAGAAUUCAGUGAAUCAUCGAGUCUUUGAACGCACAUUGCGCCCCCUGGUAUUCCGGGGGGCAUGCCUGUCCGAGCGUCAUUGCUGCCCUCAAGCACGGCUUGUGUGUUGGGCCGUCGUCCCCCUCCUAGGGGACGGGCCCGAAAGGCAGCGGCGGCACCGCGUCCGGUCCUCGAGCGUAUGGGGCUUCGUCACCCGCUCCGUAGGCCCGGCCGGCGCUUGCCGACGACCAUCAAUCUCUUUCUCCAGGUUGACCUCGGAUCAGGUAGGGAUACCCGCUGAACUUAAGCAUAUCAAUAAGCGGAGGA